rnacentral:rRNA from 1 species
UGGGCCCGAGUUUGAUCAUGGCUCAGGACGAACGCUGGCGGCAUGCCUAAUACAUGCAAGUCGAGCGGAAUGAUGAGAGCUUGCUCUCUGAUUUUAGCGGCGGACGGGUGAGUAACACGUGGGCAACCUGCCCUACAGAUGGGGAUAACUCCGGGAAACCGGGGCUAAUACCGAAUAAACAGUUUGUCCGCAUGGACAAACUCUGAAAGACGGUUUCGGCUGUCACUGUAGGAUGGGCCCGCGGCGCAUUAGCUAGUUGGUGGGGUAAUGGCCUACCAAGGCAACGAUGCGUAGCCGACCUGAGAGGGUGAUCGGCCACACUGGGACUGAGACACGGCCCAGACUCCUACGGGAGGCAGCAGUAGGGAAUCUUCCACAAUGGACGAAAGUCUGAUGGAGCAAUGCCGCGUGAGCGAAGAAGGUUUUCGGAUCGUAAAGCUCUGUUGUAAGGGAAGAACAAGUACGGGAGUAACUGCCCGUGCCAUGACGGUACCUUAUUAGAAAGCCACGGCUAACUACGUGCCAGCAGCCGCGGU